ensembl:snRNA U1 U1 spliceosomal RNA
AUACUUACCUGGUAGUGGAGAUACCACAAUCAAGAAGGUGGUUUUCACAGAGCAAGGCUCUUCUGUUACACUUGGGAUGCACUCACUUCUGUGAUAUCCUAAAAUGUAGGAAACUUGACUGCAUAAUUCAUAGUAGUCUGAGACUAUGGUCAUACUUUACUCUUA